AUGGAGCCGAACCUGAUACCGUGGAAAAACCUCUGUUAUUUCUAAGGAGCCUGACACUAGUGGAGAAAUGGUUGGGAAAAAAACAUAAACAACGUCUGGGAGAAGGAUGAUAUAUGCAGAAGAAGAGGGAGGCUGAAUCCUGGAAUCAAUUAGGGAGAAGGCUGGCUGGUUGGCUCGGCCGUGCAGGCGUUUGGCAUCGCAAGGCUAUCAGAUCCGAGACUGACAUCCAGGAUGCAGGAAAAGAGAAGACGGCCAAACCAGCCAGUGGUCUCAUGUGGAGGGCUUAGGAGGGAGCCCCCAGUAAACAGUUGUUCCUGUCUCCCUCUCUGGAGCCCCCGCCUAGCCUCCCCUUUCUCUUGGAUGUGCUUGAUAUGCUGCUCAUGUCUGUGGGAUCCUGGGUGUUUUUUUUUCUUGCAGAGUAGCCUGGUGGACCUGGACCUAUCUCUCUCACGUUAUUCUACCAUAGUGGCCUGGAGCCACUGAGUCACAGCCCCGGCCUUCCUUCCUGUCUCAGCUGUGGGCCAAGCCUCCAGUGCAGGAUGGGAGAUAACCCGCUAAUCGCCGGGCCCAGUCCUCUUCAGGACGAUAACCCUCUCUGCAUUCUAUCUUGUGUCUGCCAUUAAGGUUUAAAUGUCCCUCUGACGCGUGUGUCUAUCUUGGUGGCGCACACGUCUCCACCUCUUUUCGCUCACGAAGAACACAGUGUUUUUUUAUUAUCUUCUUCAUGUCUUCGCUGUAAUUUAUAAUCAAGUAAUCGAGCAGGUCAGUAAUUGAGUUAAACACGGUGAA